GAAUCUUGCGCAAUGGGCGAAAGCUUGACGCAGCCACGCCGCGUGGAUGAUGAAGGCCUUCGGGUCGUAAAGUCCUUUUCUGAAGGAAGAACAGUUUGCAGAGGAAAUGCUGCGGAUUUGACGGUACUUCAGGAAUAAGCCACGGCUAACUCUGUGCCAGCAGCCGCGGUAAUACAGAGGUGGCAAGCGUUGUUCGGAAUUACUGGGCGUAAAGGGAGCGCAGGCGGCCAGGUAAGUCUGGAGUGCAAGCCCGGGGCUCAACCCCGGAAUUGCUUUGGAUACUACUUGGCUUGAGUACGUCAGAGGUGAGCGGAAUUCCAGGUGUAGCGGUGAAAUGCGUAGAUAUCUGGAGGAACAUCGGUGGCGAAGGCGGCUCACUGGGACGAAACUGACGCUGAGGCUCGAAAGCGUGGGGAGCGAACGGG
rnacentral:rRNA from 1 species